rnacentral:rRNA from 1 species
UACAGGGGGGGCAAGCGUUGUUCGGAAUUACUGGGCGUAAAGGGUUCGUAGGUGGCCAACUUAGUCAGACGUGAAAUCCCUCAGCUUAACUGGGGAACUGCGUCUGAUACUGGAUGGGCUUGAGUGCAGGAGAGGAACGCGGAAUUCCAGGUGUAGCGGUGAAAUGCGUAGAUAUCUGGAGGAACACCGGUGGCGAAGGCGGCGUUCUGGACUGCAACUGACACUGAGGCGCGAAAGCUGGGGGAGCGAACAGG